GAUGAACGCUGGCGGCGUGCCUAAUACAUGCAAGUCGAGCGAACGGAUAAGGAGCUUGCUCCUUUGAAGUUAGCGGCGGACGGGUGAGUAACACGUGGGUGACCUACCUAUAAGACUGGAAUAACUUCGGGAAACCGGAGCUAAUGCCGGAUAACAUUUGGAACUGCAUGGUUCUAAAGUAAAAGAUGGUUUUGCUAUCACUUAUAGAUGGACCCGCGCCGUAUUAGCUAGUUGGUAAGGUAACGGCUUACCAAGGCAACGAUACGUAGCCGACCUGAGAGGGUGAUCGGCCACACGGGAACUGAGACACGGUCCAGACUCCUACGGGAGGCAGCAGUAGGGAAUCUUCCGCAAUGGACGAAAGUCUGACGGAGCAACGCCGCGUGAGUGAUGAAGGUUUUCGGAUCGUAAAACUCUGUUAUUAGGGAAGAACAAAUGUGUAAGUAACUGUGCACAUCUUGACGGUACCUAAUCAGAAAGCCACGGCUAACUACGUGCCAGCAGCCGCCGUAA
rnacentral:rRNA from 1 species